UACGUAGGGUGCGAGCGUUGUCCGGAAUUAUUGGGCGUAAAGGGCUCGUAGGCGGUUUGUCGCGUCGGGAGUGAAAACCAGGUGCUUAACACCUGGCUUGCUUUCGAUACGGGCAGACUAGAGGUAUGCAGGGGAGAACGGAAUUCCUGGUGUAGCGGUGAAAUGCGCAGAUAUCAGGAGGAACACCGGUGGCGAAGGCGGUUCUCUGGGC
rnacentral:rRNA from 1 species